GGUUCCGCCUCAACCGUCGGGAGAAUGGCCGCCCGCCGGCCGCCAGAAGCUGGCCGGGCGCCGGGGGCCUUCUCCACACAGCCCCGCCACCAGAGAGGACCGCCCCGGGUGCCUGGCUCAACCUGUGACUGGAGGAAGCCUCCGCACCACGCUCAGGGAGCCGCUGUCACCGCCGCCGCCCCGCGUCGUGUCUCCGGCCUCACCAACCGCCUCAGUACCUCACCUCAGACGGUUGACGGAAAGCGGGAAGCUUCUGCCCAAUCGGCGGCCUGUGCGUGCGUAACCCCGUCCAAUCAGCGCGGCACGCGGGCCAGGCUCCGCCCCUCGUACCGGUCACCGGCUCCGGGGUCCUCUGAGGCCAGGGCCAGGGGCGCCGCGGGGGAGGGGACCGUGGCUAGCCUGACAGGUGCCUGGAAAGCAUAAGGAUUGUUGAGUAAUACCACAUGGAAGAUCUAAGCGGAUCACUUCAGCUUAUUUGAAUUGUUCUUAAGUAGGUUCUUAGAGUGUGGAGUUAGAUGGAAAGAAACUCAUCAAUCCAUCAUAAUUGGACUUCCAAUUACAUUUAACAAGCAUGUAUUGGGAACAGCCCAUCACAGGGCAGAGCAGGUGUAGGUUUGAAUGCUGACUUAGCUGCGUCUCAGCUGUGGGUCUCUGGAAGAAUUACUUAAGCCUCUCUGAGCUUCAUUCUCGGCAGCUAAGAAAAUAGGGACAUGAUCUACCAGGGCUCUGGCUAUUGAAGAAAACACCUCUCAGUUCCACUUGGAAACCCAACUUCUGCAAGAUGACUCCUGGGAAUUUUCUGACACUUAAGCAGACAUAAAGAGUCACCUCAAUCAUCAAAAAGAGGCAGGGGAUAUUUCGGAAGAAAGUAUUCACGUUCCAAGCAGCGCACCCGCAGUAGGCCACCCACUGAAAAUCAGAGAAAGCAGCAUUCUUGAUAAGAGUCCCCGGAAUUCCACAGAGAUAACACGAUGUGAUAGGAAUUGCCACGCUGAAGAUCUUUUCUAGAUUGAGUUCCGGUGGCUUGGAGAAGUCCUUUCCAAAUAUAAGAGGAGUAAAGAAGUCACUUCCCCUGCUGUCAGCAUCUGCCAACAGAUUGAGCAAGAAUAUUUCAAGCACUACAGACAAGACAGUCCAUCAACCCCUAGAUGAUGAUCAGCCGUGUGACUUUUUCCAGAAAGGGAAUAGGGUGAAUGUAUUCCGUCAGAAAAGCAGCGAUAUGAAUGCUGGCCGGUCUUGGACUAAAGCACAAUGUUCAAAACCCUCUUCAGGAAAAAGGCCGAGUAAACCCCAGGCGCCCCCCGUGCCCAGACUCCGAGAACGCGCUUCCCCGGAAGGCAAACCCCAAAGGAGCCCCCCGGGCCUCGGGUGUCGGGGCGCCUCCGGGCAGGAGCUGUUUCUCGACCUCCAGUGCAUGAAGACCGGGAAGGCCGACGAGGACGGGGACAGCGCCAGCGACCUGUCGGACUCGGAGAGAGUGCCCGGGCCGCCGUCUUCGCUCGCGCCCCCGGAGCUGCACCUGCGCGCCGAGGAGAUCGAGGCCGCCGACCCGGACCCCGACCCCGACCCGGACUCGGACCCGCGCGGCGCGCAGCCCACCU